AACCUGCGGAAGGAUCAUUGUCGAGUCCUGCAAAGCAGACGACCGCGAACCUGUUAUCAAUUGCCUCGGGGCUGCCGGGGAAUUUUGUCCCUGACGGACUUUUUGUCGAGAGUUCCGUAAAAUAACUAAACCCCGGCGCGGAUAGCGUCAAGUAUCAAUCAAACAUUUUGCCCCGCGCGCUGCGAGGCCCGAUCGCGGGUGACGUGCAGUGUGCGGCGGCGACAUGAUCGUUUAACCAAAACGACUCUCGGCAACGGAUAUCUAGGCUCUCGCAUCGAUGAAGAACGUACCAAAAUGCAAUACUUGGGGUGAAUUGCAAAAUCCCGGGAACCAUCAAGUUUUUGAACGCAAGUUGCCCCCAAAGCCUUUAGGCCAAGGGCACGUCGGCCGGGGCGUCACGCUUCGCGUCGCCACCCCUCUCCCAAGUUAGGUGCGGGGUGACGAAGUUUGGCCUCCCGGGCAACGUUGGUGGCGCGGUGGGCCUAAUUGCAAGAUUCUGACGGGUUAAAGGACGCAACAAGGGGGGGUUGAAUUCUUUGUCACCUGGAUCGGCGUCGUCGCCUAAAACCCACGUCGAAAAUCACAAUGUUCGAAAACCCAAUGGCCACAA
rnacentral:misc_RNA from 1 species